rnacentral:rRNA from 1 species
AGGAGCUUGCUCCUGUGACGCGAGUGGCGGACGGGUGAGUAACACGUAGGCAACCUGCCCAUCAGACUGGGAUAACCACGGGAAACCGUGGCUAAUACCGGAUAAUCCUUUUCCACACAGGUGGAAAAGUUGAAAGGCGGCCUUUUGGCUGUCACUGAUGGAUGGGCCUGCGGCGCAUUAGCUGGUUGGUGGGGUAACGGCCCACCAAGGCGACGAUGCGUAGCCGACCUGAGAGGGUGAUCGGCCACACUGGGACUGAGACACGGCCCAGACUCCUACGGGAGGCAGCAGUAGGGAAUCUUCCGCAAUGGACGAAAGUCUGACGGAGCAACGCCGCGUGAGUGAAGAAGGGUUUCGGCUCGUAAAACUCUGUUGUCAGGGAAGAACGCCGACGGGAGUAACUGCCCGUCGGGUGACGGUACCUGACCAGAAAGCCACGGCUAACUACGUGCCAGCAGCCGCGGUAAUACGUAGGUGGCAAGCGUUAUCCGGAAUUAUUGGGCGUAAAGCGCGCGUAGGCGGUUCGUUAAGUCUGAUGUGAAAGCCCCCGGCUCAACCGGGGAGGGUCAUUGGAAACUGGCGGACUUGAGUGCAGAAGAGGAGAGUGGAAUUCCAUGUGUAGCGGUGAAAUGCGCAGAGAUAUGGAGGAACACCAGUGGCGAAGGCGGCUCUCUGGUCUGCAACUGACGCUGAGGUGCGAAAGCGUGGGGAUCAAACAGGAUUAGAUACC